GACGAACGCUGGCGGCGUGCUUAACACAUGCAAGUCGAACGGGGCGAAGUGAUAGCUUGCUAUUAUGGAGCCUAGUGGCAAACGGGUGAGUAACGCGUAGGCAACCUGCCCUUCAGAUGGGGACAACACCUCGAAAGGGGUGCUAAUACCGAAUGACGUUUCCUAGUCGCAUGACCUGGAAACCAAAGGCCGGGCAACCGGUCACUGAAGGAUGGGCCUGCGUCUGAUUAGAUGGUUGGCGGGGUAACGGCCCACCAAGUCGACGAUCGGUAGCCGGACUGAGAGGUUGAACGGCCACAUUGGGACUGAGACACGGCCCAGACUCCUACGGGAGGCAGCAGUGAGGGAUAUUCGGCAAUGGGGGAAACCCUGACCGAGCAACGCCGCGUGAGGGAUGACGGUUUUCGGAUUGUAAACCUCUGUCCUCUGUGAAGAUAAUGACGGUAGCAGAGGAGGAAGCUCCUGCUAACUACGUG
rnacentral:rRNA from 1 species